GGUUGCAUACAGCAGAGGAAUCAUGAGCUGGUCUUUUCUUCUUCUGAUAUCCUUUGUGCCCUAUGUGUGUUGCAUCAGUUUGACCUCGUCUCCUGAUGAGGUUAAACCUCCUGGAGAAACAGUGAAGUUGUCCUGUCAGAUUUCUGGUUAUGCCCUGACUGACUAUGGUACAGCCUGGAUCAGGCAACCUCCAGGAAAAAGCAUGGAGUGGAUCGGGAUCAUAUGGGGUGGUGGAAGCAUAAAUAAUGGAGCUUCCUUUAAAACUCGGUUCAGCAUCUCCAGAGACACAAGCAGCAAUGUGCUUUACUUAGAAAUCAGCAGCCUGAAACCAGAGGACACGGCUGUUUACUACUGUGCAAAGACAGCCACAGCUAUACAACUCAGUGGGAGGGGUGUACAAAAACUUAGAAGAAGCAUCAACUUCAAUCAAACUGACAAGUAUACAUUAUAA